GCCACCGAGCAUGGAGAAAGGAGAGGCCGGCCCACGAGCGCUUCAUUGGCUGAAGUGCCAGCCAAUGAGCGCCCCAAAGGUUUGAGAUUGACGUUCAAUGGGUUAGAUUGAGAAGAAAUCGGAACUGCCUUGGAGGCAGCGCGCUGUGAGAUGCGGAGCAAGAAGGCGAGAGGUUCGGAGCAUUUCGGAAAGGCGACAGUCGAGGGAGCGCAAUCCUGUUUGGAACAGCCUAACUGGGCCAUUGUGAGGUCUGCAAUGGACAAGAAGACAGAUGGAGGGGUACAACAGGAAGAAGGUCCCCUCCUGCGGUCGUCGACUAUAACCCAAAAGGAGUGACAGACUCAUUGAUAGGGACUCAUCCGAAGCAGAAAGCUGGAUCGAUAGAGUCACCACUUACUGCUGAAAGAGGAAGGCCCACGGAGGCUCCUUGCCCGACACCAAGAACUAUUGGCUGAGAGGCACCUGGCUGGCCAAGAAAGCAAGCAGACUGUUCCAGAGACCAGAAGGGAGAGAUCUGGGUAUGGGAGCGUGUUUCCAGUGUGGAAAAGAGGGGCAUCAAGCCACAGAUUGCCCUACAUCACACCCAAUGUCAGCACGUCAAGCUCCAAGCAAGUUUAGGACAAAGAUGUUGGUACCAAAGUCCAAAGAAAAAACAAAAAUCACUCAACAGGUCAUGGAGAUCUCUUCCCCAUCCAGUGAAGGGGAGGAUGAUCCAAUGGUAAGUGGCCCUAUUUCUCCAAUGACUACCAGGAUAGAACUGUGCACUCCUCGGGAUUUAUGGCGACUUCUCUGCCGGGACAUUUUUAAGGGCUUUUAAGAAAAAGGAUUUAACCUUCCAAGACGGAUUGCCCUGGUGGGCCUCCCCCCUCUCCUAAACGACGACAGCUCCAAAGCCGGCUUCGUAGUUCUUGACUACGAGGAGAACUCGACGGGAGGAAAGGGAAUUAACGCAUAAGCAAAGCAUUCCAGUCUGAGGAUCCAUGAGGGUGACAGUCAGGUCUUAAAUCAACAAAGGAGUCUGGAAAACGCCUGCAGGCAAGUAUUGUAAAACGGGGGAAACCUGAUCCCUUUUGGAUCGGAAGAGGGGACUGAUCACCCCCUGAGAAGGCAAAGGUGGCGUC